AACCUAGGAAUAAUAAUAAAAAAACGAUAUUGUCUCUCCUCCCUGCAUCCAACGCCUCUCACAGCUCCUGCAAAACAUCUCCCUGCACAGGUGACCGGCGAAGCCACCGACUCUCUCCUCCUUCUUAGGUGACCGGCGAAGCCAUCGGCGAAACCACACUCACACACUCGCACCCUCUCUCAAACGUCUACUCUCAACCCUAAACCCCAUUACUCUCUCGCUUUCUCUGCCGACAUUGAUCUAGAUUACACCCAAGCUCAAAUUGCUCUCUCAAUUUGAAGCUAUACUACACAUUGUAAACGAAAUCUAAAGACUUUGAGGGUUCAAAUAUGGCUCUUUGUCGCAGUUGACGAAUCUCUGAAGAAUACUUCUCAGGAAUGGAAGCAGUUGGAGAAGUGGUAGCUGUGGGUCCCGGACUAACUGGCAGAAAGGUGGGAGAUCUUGUUGCUUAUGCUGGUAAUCCAAUGGGUUCAUAUUCUGAAUUCAUCGAUCAACAACAAUUGAGGAAAUCGAUCUGGAAGUGAAUUGUUUUGAUCUUUAAGAGUCCCAGAUAUGCUAUUGAAGGUCUUUUUUUCGAGUCUCUAUGGCUCCCCCAUCGUCAGCAAUGAAUAUUGAAUGAAGAGCAUGAGCAAGAUAACUUGGAACUGACUGGUCUCUUUCCCAAAGAACUGAGUUCCAGAGUAGAUAAAGCAGGCCAACUAUGGUAACAUAGGUUACCUUCCUUCUGAAAACUUGUUUGCAGUAUGUUCUGGACCGGCCAAAACAAGUGAACCAGUGUGUUCCUGCUGCCAAGAGAAGUAUUAUUUUUGUUCAUGAUCUUUCACAAAAAAGGACAAAAUCAAGCUUUCAGAAAUGGGCUGCUGAGAUUGCUGCAAAUGCGACUUUUUCGGCACCUCUGGUUAUCUUGUUGACGUUGCUAGGCAAUGGGUUGAGAAGCAAAGUCUGCUAUCAUCUAGUGAGGACCUUCCCCAUUGCAAGCUUUCCUGGAAAUUCAUCCCUUAUUGCUGUGUAUUGUUGCUGUUGUUCUUCUCGUGCAUUGCUGCUGUGGAGCUGCUGCUGUAAGGCUCGUGCAGUGGUGCAAUGUUGCUGUUGCUAGGUGGCUGCUCGUGCGCUAGGUAGCUGAUGGUCUGCCCUUUGCUAUGUUGCGUGCAAGGCUUGCCCAUGGGGAUGUGUUCUUCCAGAAUCGAUGUUGGCUUUGCUUCGGCACCCCGAUUAUUGCAUAUCAGCCUAUUCAUCUGUUUUCAAAACUCCAAGGGAGGGGCCCUUUACCAAAGAGGAGUUGGAUGAAGUUCGAGACAAGUGGGAUACUUCAACGAUUGUGAACUACCCUCAGUGUAAUAAAUAGAGCAGGCUUGUAGUUAUCCGUGACUCUUACAUUAUUUUGUUAUUUAUCGAUUUAAUUAAUUACAUUUGAAUUAAUUCGGUAAUAUUAUUGGAAAUUUGAAAUUUAUAUCAUUUUUGAGGAAUGUCAAGCUGAUGUUUGAUGAAA